UCUAAUUCUUACAGAUCUAUAAGUACAAGAAAACAUAGUGACCAAUAAAUUUCUAUCUAUUGGGAGCUUAGGAAAAAAAUGACUAAAAUUAUUAAGUUUGUUUAUUUAAUGAUCUUCUAUAUUUCCUUGUUUUUUCUUGUAACUGACGUUAAUGCGUUGUGGAAAAAAUGCCAGAAGGAUGUAGAUUGUAAACGUUGUGUUUGUGUAGCUCCUUUUGUUCCAAAGUGCCAUAUGGCUACAUGUUUAUGCCGUUCGCCUUCAUAAGAUAUCAGCUCAAUGGUAAGAGAUUGAUAUUUUAAUCUCAAGGAACGGAGUUAAAUCUCAUUUUGAGACAAUUAAAUGGCCAUUAAAUCCAUUGUUAUAUUUAUAAUUUAUAAUACUGUACUUCUCCAAUAUUUUGUUUAAGAUGUUAUUGCUGACUAUAGUAAUAGUAAUUAUAAUGUUGUUAAUGUUUUUUUCUUCCAAACAUACAAUAAAGCCAAUAAACAUCAUUCCCACUCA